CACUAGUCUUGACGUUCCGUGACAGUUUUUUAAAUAUUUUUGAAACUUUUGACUUGACUCUUGAUAUCCGAAUUCAGAACUAUAGUGAUGAAGUUCACAUGGAAAAAAACUUUCCUAAAUGCAGUUAUACUUUUUUUAUGGAAAACUAUUAAAGUUUGUGGUGAUUCUAUAGUAACCAUUGAGGACACUAAUAUUAUUGAAAGUCAUAUGAUUACAAGAUGUGGUCGAACUGUAUCAGGUUUUAUGGGAAUACAUUAUGCAGAACCACCAACUGGGCAACUAAGAUGCUGAAGCAGUUGAAGGAUUUUCUUGGAGAUUUUUUAAAGAACUUUCCUGCAAUUCUAGUAGCUAAUCGACAUUCGAAAAUUUCUAAACGACCUCUCUACUUUUAUUUAUUUAAUUAUAGAGGUUUAUUAAGUGCCUCCCAUAAUGCGACACAUAAAAAAUCGAAUAUUGGUGUAGACCACACAGAUGAAACUUAUUAUGACUGAUGUCAUGGUAGAUUUGUGGACAUCACUUGCUUUUAAUGGCGUACCAGUUUCUGAUGAAUUAUCUGGAAGCCCUGAUAUGUGGAAACCAUACCAACCAGGAAGGAAUAUUCUGGAAAUCGGCAAUUUCUCAAAUACGAAGACACAAAUUGUGCAUUUUAUCUUUGAGAAGAGAAUGAAGUUUUGGAAACGGAAUUUUUCUUAUUUAUAUUAAAAAA